rnacentral:rRNA from 1 species
UACGUAGGGGGCAAGCGUUGUCCGGAAUCAUUGGGCGUAAAGAGCGCGUAGGCGGCCUUGUAAGUCCGCUGUGAAAGUCAAGGGCUCAACCCUUGAAUGCCGGUGGAUACUGCAGGGCUAGAGUCCGGAAGAGGCGAGUGGAAUUCCUGGUGUAGCGGUGAAAUGCGUAGAUAUCGAGAGGAACACCUGCGGCGAAGGCGGGUUGCUGGGCUGAUACUGACGCUGAGGCGCGAAAGCCAGGGGAGCGAACGGG